AUCAAUGGAAGCCACUUUGGAGACUAUCUACCACAAUACCUUCCAGAGCCAUCAAAGAAAUGCAAUUUGUCUUUCGAUCUUUGGCACUCAGUAAAUGCCAAUAAAUGUCAGAUGCAUGAAUUAACAAACGAAUCCAGGGAUACCCACAAGGUACUAAGAAGAGUCAAUCGUUUUAUUAUUAUUAUUUUUUUUUUAGUGGAAAAAGUAUAUAGGACUCAAAAGGAUUUGAAAGUUCUACAACCGGCACUGUAGCCGACAUCUUACUACGGAAGCUGAAGAUUGAACACGUUCCUGCCAGUCACACGUCCACAUGUUUCCCGGCCUCCAUCACACACACUAACAUUAGCAAGCCUAUGAAAGCACAGCUAUGUGCCGCUGAGUAAGUUCACAAUCACUGCUUUUUCUCACCACAGCCUGUUGCUUUAAUUUAUUAAAGAAUUCACAAUUCC